UGUAAAAUUUGGAUCGAACUCGAGGUCUCUUGCAUCCAAAGCGAGAAUCAUACCACUAGACCAAAUGCCC
rnacentral:tRNA from 1 species